UCUAGCAGAUGAGCAAAGAAAGUGGUUUCUUGAGAUGGGAUCUACUCCUGGUGAAGAUGCUGUGAA
rnacentral:pre_miRNA from 1 species